UCAAGCAAAACACAAAGUGAGAAAUCUCCUGUUUCCUCACAGCAUCAGCCCCCCUUGGCCAAGAUAGAGCCAAUAAAAUACAUAGACAUACCCAGAGCUGGGAGCCUCUUGUUGCAUGGGGUGGGGUUCCCACACUCAGUCUCUCUCUCACACACAGCUGGCCCUCCAGCCCCAGCUCCCUUGGCUGAGCUGGAAACACAAUUCUCAACGCAAAGCACACAAAAAGAGAUAGAGACAAUAAAAUACAUAGACAUAUACAGAGCUGGGAGCCUGUUGUUCCCUGUGGGGGGGUUCUGUUAUAAAAAUUUAAGGUCUUAGAUAUAUAAUAAAUGUUCAUAAAUGUAUCAAUCAAACACGUACAUAAAUAUAUAAACCACAUGUCCAAAACAGCACAGGAAGACAGUCCUGAAAUCAUUUUGACUCCCCAGCUGACCAAAUGUUUCUCUGCAAGGAAGGAGGAGGUGAAAAAACCUAUCUGAGGAUGUACGAAUUCCAACGCGCUUUAGUUCUGGGCUGCUUCACUCCUUGCAUGAAUUUUACCUGGGUGUCGGGCUGUGUGCGCAAAAGCCAAAACCCCAUUUCCCCCCGUAACACAGGAGUCACAGAGUCCAAGCCACUGCUCAACGUGCACCAGUACCUAAAACACGGACGGAUCUAAUCUCGUGGCGUGGGGGAGGGAGGGAUUUUGCAAUGUAAACAUUUGGGGUGCGAGACCCCACUUUGCGAGUGGAUUGCCGGGAUCAGCCCCUCCCCCGCUCUCUUGAUCCCCAGAAGAAAGAAGGGAGGGGGAAAACCUUCCUCUCCCCACCCCCAUUCCUCCCCUCCCCUCCCGGCACAUCCUUCUCUCACCCCGCCCCCACUACCCCAAAUCCCACCCCCAUACGUUGCACCUCCUCCUCUCUUCCUCUUCCUCGCCAUCCGACUUCUGUUCCGGGAGUGGGGAGGGGGGGAAAGAGCCCCCUCCCAAAUUGCCUGCUUCUUCCCUCAAGUGGAGCUUCUGCGCCGGAUUCGGGCUCUGCGCCGCAGCUCUAGGGGCGCGCGCUUUCGGAAAGGGAAGGAGGGGCGGCAGGUAAAUCCCCCCCACCCACGUGGAUGUUGCAGGAAAGGAAAGGAGAAUCGCGAGCGAGGACAAAGAGGAUCAGGAUCCUCAGGAGCGUGUCCUGGCGGCCGGAUUAAGGUAAAUUCUGGCAUGAUUGGAAGGGGCAUGGCCCCACCCACCAGGCUAAGCCAUAAUUUUAUGGCUUUUCUUUCUGGGCAGGGGGCCAGCUAGGCCGUGGGGGUGGCCUUCUUGUUUUUUGUGGCAGCGGGGGGGGGGGGGGGCAUGGCUCCCCUGACGACGCCAUCCAGCCGGCCAUUUCCUUUCUUGUUGGGUGUGUGUGUGUGUGUGCGUAAGUCAGGCCGUAUGUUUACUCAUGUU
rnacentral:lncRNA from 1 species